rnacentral:lncRNA from 1 species
AUAAUCAGUUACUUGUAUUUCUUGUUUAGCCUUCUGUAUAUAAGUGUGUUUUAGCUCCUUGUACAACCACUAAUUUGUUCAAUAAAGAUUUCAUUCUGUUAGCUCUCAUUCACUUAGGUAAUAUGGUACCAUAGCAUGAUCAAAGUACAAUGUUCUAAGAAUUUUUUUUUGUUUCUAUUUUGGAUUCUUAUAUCAUUGAAUCUAUGCUUGCAAAUAGUU